rnacentral:rRNA from 1 species
GAUGAACGCUGGCGGCGUGCCUAAUACAUGCAAGUCGAGCGAACAGACGAGGAGCUUGCUCCUCUGACGUUAGCGGCGGACGGGUGAGUAACACGUGGAUAACCUACCUAUAAGACUGGGAUAACUUCGGGAAACCGGAGCUAAUACCGGAUAAUAUAUUGAACCGCAUGGUUCAAUAGUGAAAGACGGUUUUGCUGUCCCUUAUAGAUGGAUCCGCGCCGCAUUAGCUAGUUGGUAAGGUAACGGCUUACCAAGGCAACGAUGCGUAGCUGACCUGAGAGGGUGAUCGGCCACACUGGAACUGAGACACGGUCCAGACUCCUACGGGAGGCAGCAGUAGGGAAUCUUCCGCAAUGGGCGAAAGCCUGACGGAGCAACGCCGCGUGAGUGAUGAAGGUCUUCGGAUCGUAAAACUCUGUUAUUAGGGAAGAACAAAUGUGUAAGUAACUAUGCACGUCUUGACGGUACCUAAUCAGAAAGCCACGGCUAACUACGUG